CAGCAGCCGCGGGAAUACAGAGGAUGCAAGCGUUAUCCGGAAUUACUGGGCGUAAAGCGUGCGCAGGCGGUUUUGUAAGACAGGCGUGAAAUCCCCGGGCUCAACCUGGGAAUGGCGCUUGUGACUGCAAAGCUAGAGUGCGGCAGAGGGGGAUGGAAUUCCGCGUGUAGCAGUGAAAUGCGUAGAUAUGCGGAGGAACACCGAUGGCGAAGGCAAUCCCCUGGGCCUGCACUGACGCUCAUGCACGAAAGCGUGGGGAGCAAACAGGAUUAGAUACCCCUGUAGUCCCUGUCUCUUAUAC
rnacentral:rRNA from 1 species